GCAGUCGUGUCCGAGUGGUUAAGGAGAUUGACUAGAAAUCAAUUGGGCUCUGCCCGCACAGGUUCGAAUCCUGUCGUCUGCG
rnacentral:tRNA from 1 species